CUCUCUCUCUUAAAAUAAAAUAAUAAUAAUAAAAUAUAAGAAUAAAAAAAUAUGGGUUAAAACCCUGGUUCUACCAUUGAUAGUGCCUGGAACGUAGCCAGUGCAUCACGUGCUUCCGUUUCUAAAAUGCAGGUCUCUCCAGACUUCUCCAGUAGAGCCCAGAGCUGUGAUAGCCAAGGACCCGGCACAGGAUUUGAGACAUCUGCCUGUUUCCAACCCAGCUACAGGAGAGCUGAGGCUCAGGAUGUCUUGAAUCUGCCUGGAGUCCAUCUUUGUAUUUAGUGUUAGGCAGGGAUCCAGUGCUUUGGGCUGCAUGGACUCGGCCAGUUUUCUCAAGGAUGUCUACCAAAUAAUGGGCCCUUCGCCCCAUCGAUUCAUGGUGCUUCCUUAUAAGCUUCCCAGCAUCUCUGAGCCAGAAGAACCGAGAAAGACCAACACCUUGAUUGGAGAAGUGAGUACCCUGACAGGUGCUCCACCAACAUUGUUUGGAACAAAACUUGAGUGGGUGAAAGAUGAAAAAUGUGUGUGUAAAACAUGCAGAAGAAAAGACAGCCAACGUUGGAAUGAACUGAGCAACGAGAUAAAUAAAGUGGUAAAGUGUAAAAUAACUAUCCGUGAGUCCAUAUUGAUAUAAAUGAAUGACUGAAUAAAUU